rnacentral:rRNA from 1 species
CCUACGGGAGGCUGCAGUGAGGAAUAUUGGUCAAUGGGCGCGAGCCUGAACCAGCCAAGUCGCGUGAGGGAAGACGGUCCUAUGGAUUGUAAACCUCUUUUGUCGGGGAGCAAAGGGCGGCACGCGUGGCGUUCCGAGAGUACCUGAAGAAAAAGCAUCGGCUAACUCCGUGCCAGCAGCCGCGGUAAUACGGAGGAUGCGAGCGUUAUCCGGAUUUAUUGGGUUUAAAGGGUGCGCAGGGGGAAGGUAAAGUCAGCGGUAAAAUUGAGAGGCUCAACCUCUUAGAGCCGUUGACACUGGUAGUCUUGAGUGCGUGAGAAGUAGGCGGAAUGCGUGGUGUAGCGGUGAAAUGCAUAGAUAUCACGCAGAACUCCGAUUGCGAAGGCAGCAUACCGGCGCUCCACUGACGCUGAUGCACGAAAGUGUGGGUAUCGAACAGGAUUAGAUACCCCUGUAGUC